rnacentral:rRNA from 1 species
AACCUGCCCUUCAGAGGGGGACAACAGUUGGAAACGACUGCUAAUACCGCAUGAUGUAUCUCUGGGACAUCCCUAAGAUACCAAAGGAGCAAUCCGCUGAAGGAUGGCCUCGCGUCGAUUAGAUAGUUGGUGGGGUAACGGCCCACCAAGUCGACGAUCGGUAGCCGGACUGAGAGGUUGAACGGCCACAUUGGGACUGAGACACGGCCCAGACUCCUACGGGAGGCAGCAGUGGGGGAUAUUGCACAAUGGGGGAAACCCUGAUGCAGCAACGCCGCGUGAAGGAAGAAGGUCUUCGGAUUGUAAACUUCUGUUUUUAGUGAAGAAACAAAUGACGGUAGCUAAAGAGGAAGCCACGGCUAACUACGUG